CAGUAAUUCACACAGUCUCAUCUCUCACUGCUGGAACUACAUACACAUUCACUCUCUUCUCUGUGAUUGAGAAUUUCAGAAGCAGUGGAUUACAACUUACAGCAGUUACUGCUCCUCGAAACACAGCUAGCUUCAGAUCAAUAGGGCAAAAUGAGACUAGUAUCACUCUGCAGUGGAAUAAAGUCAACAACAAUGUCAGCUUUAUUCUCCAGUUUAAUGGUACAGAGACAAACAUCAUGGCACCAACUGGAGAUGGACCAGUAAAUCACACAGUCUCAUCUCUCACUGCUGGAACUACAUACACAUUCACUCUCUUCUCUGUGUUUGAGAACAUCAGAAGCAGUGGAUUACAACUUAAAGCAGUCACUGCUCCUCAAAACACAGAUAGCUUCAGA